rnacentral:rRNA from 1 species
UACAGAGGUCUCAAGCGUUGUUCGGAUUCAUUGGGCGUAAAGGGUGUGUAGGUGGCGCGCUAAGUCGGGUGUGAAAUUUCGGAGCUUAACUCCGAAACUGCAUUCGAUACUGCCGUGCUUGAGGACUGGAGAGGAGACUGGAAUUCAUGGUGUAGCAGUGAAAUGCGUAGAGAUCAUGAGGAAGACCAGUGGCGAAGGCGGGUCUCUGGACAGUUCCUGACACUGAGGCACGAAGGCCAGGGGAGCAAACGGG